GCGCUGUUACUGUCCUUUCAGACACAUGCAGGGGUCCCAGGGCAAAUCAAAAUGUUUUUAAAUGUAUGACAUGUGUGAAGUUGAUGAAAAUUCAUGACUUCUCUCUGUCAGGGCUGCUUGAGCUUAAAUCAUCAGAGAAAGACUCUGUCUUGCUGGGAGACUCAACCUGGAGACUGACCUUGCCGGCGUGAUGAAGUAAGCAGCCAUGUUGGAGAAGCCCACAUGGUGAGGCACUAUGGGCAGCUUCCAGCCAACAGCCAGGAAGAAGCUGGGAUCCUUGGUCUUAGAGCUGCAAGGAAAUGAACUCUGCCAAGAAUGUGAGUGAGCUUGGAAGGGGUUCCUUCCCCAGUUGAGCCUCCAGUUGGGAGCACAGUCCAGAUGACACCUUGAUUGCAGUCUUGUGACACUAUGUUAAUUAUUCAUACUGCAUGAUGAGGAUUUUGGAGUCAGAGAUUCACCUGCAAUAUUUGGAAUACCAGUGGAGGCCUACAUCAACACAGAAUUUAUAAAGCAGCUGGUGCUAGUCAAAGCUAAUGAUGGAACUUCAGUUUAAUAAAAAGACCCCCAACUGAGCACACCAUCUUGAAAAAAGUAUACUUAUGAAACGGCUUUCAAUCAGUUCAAGAGAGACACCUUAAUUGGGAAGAGGAAGAUUUGCAGAGUAGUUUGUCAUUGUGCCAAUUCCAGAUCAAUAACUGCAUGUCUGCUCUUUGGUAGACAUAGCUUUUGCUUUCUAUGAAGUAACCACAUCUACUUCCUCUCCAUUUGGGUAAACUCUGUUUCAUUUCAUAAUGUUAAAUAAAA